rnacentral:rRNA from 1 species
UCAAGCUAGAAAGAGCGCAAGGGGAAUGCCUUGGCAUCAGGAGCCGAUGAAGGACGUGACAAGCUGCGAUAAGUCUGGGGGAGCUGCACAUAAGCAUUGAUCCCGGAAUUUCCGAAUGGGGAAACCCGGCGGAGCAAUACUCCGUCAACCUGCGUUGAACAAAAUAGGCGUAGGUAGGGAACCGCCUGAACUGAAACAUCUAAGUAGGGCGAGGAAGAGAAAUCAACAGAGAUUCCGCUAGUAGUGGCGAGCGAACGCGGAAGAGGGCAAACCGGUGGAUUUAUUCACCGGGGUUGUGGACCGGCGCACGGCAGAAUAAGUUAGCUGAACGGUAUGGGAAGGCCGACCAUAGCGGGUGAUAGUCCCGUAAGCGAAAACUGAGUUCUGUCAGCUGGGAUCCAGAGUACCGCAGGACACGUGAAACCCUGUGGGAAACCGGGGGGACCACCCUCCAACCCUAAAUACUACCUGAUGACCGAUAGAGGAGCAGUACCGUGAGGGAAAGGUGAAAAGGACCCCGGGAGGGGAGUGAAAUAGAACCUGAAACCUUGUGCUUACAAGCACUCAAAGCACGUUAAGGUGUGAUGAGGUACUUUUUGUAGAACGGUCCGGCGAGUUAUUGUAUGCAGCAAGCUUAAGGUGUUCAGCACCGGAGGCGAAGCGAGAGCGAGUCUGAAUAGGGCGUAUGAAGUUGUAUGCAAUAGACCCGAAACCAGGUGACCUAUCCAUGGGCAGGUUGAAGUGGGGGUAAAACCCCAUGGAGGACCGAACCGACCCCCGUUGCAAUGGUGGCGGAUGACCUGUGGAUAGCGGAGAAAUUCUAAUCGAACUUGGAGAUAGCUGGUUCUCCCCGAAAUAGCUUUAGGGCUAGCGUUGAUUUAGAUUACCGGAGGUAAAGCACUGAAUGGGCUAGGGGCUGAUAAAGUUACUGAACCCUAUCAAACUCUGAAUGCCGGAUAAUUGAUGAUCAGCAGUCAGUCUACGUGAGAUAAGUCUCGUGGACAAAAGGGAAACAGCCCAGACCCACAGCUAAGGUCCCAAAGAUACGCUAAGUGGAAAACGAUGUGGAAUUGCGAAAACAACCAGGAUGUUGGCUUAGAAGCAGCCACUCAUUAAAAGAGUGCGUAAUAGCUCACUGGUCGAGUGAUUCUGCGCGGAAAAUGUAACGGGGCUAAGCGUAACACCGAAGCUUGGGAUGCAGCAAUGCAUGGUAGGGGAGCGUCGAAUACGGGGUGAAGUCGCAGCGGGAGCAGCGGUGGACUGUAUUCGAGUGAGAAUGCCGGAAUGAGUAGCGAGAAUUAUGUGGGAAUCAUAAUGGCCGAAAAUCUAAGGUUUCUUGGGGAAGGUUCGUCCGCCCAAGGUAAGCCGGGAGCUAAGGCGAGGCCGAGAGGCGUAGUCGAUGCACAUACGGUUGAAAUUCCGUAGCCACCGAAACUUAAGCUAGAAGGACACUUGGAGCUAUCCAGACCCGGGCGUUGGUUGACCCGGGCGAAAGGGACCGAAAAUAAGUAGGGAAGCUGGAGAAUGACGAGGCGAGAAAAGUUCUAGUGUAUGCUAAGGUGCCCGUACCGCAAACCGACACAGGUAGAUGAGGAGAGAAUCCUAAGGCCAACGGGAGAAGGGUUGUUAAGGAACUCGGCAAAAUUACCCCGUAACUUCGGGAUAAGGGGAGCUCCCUAAGGGGAGCCGCAGAGAAUAGGCCCAAGCGACUGUUUACCAAAAACACAGGUCUAUGCUAAAUCGAAAGAUGACGUAUAUGGGCUGACGCCUGCCCGGUGCUGGAAGGUUAAGAGGAGGGCUUAGCGCAAGCGAAGGUCUGAAUUGAAGCCCCAGUAAACGGCGGCCGUAACUAUAACGGUCCUAAGGUAGCGAAAUUCCUUGUCAGGUAAGUUCU